rnacentral:lncRNA from 1 species
GGGGAAAUGAGGGGAGGGUGGUGGGCGCGGGGGUGUGCCUUGCACGCCCCUUCCACCCCCCUGCCUGUGUGCACGGGUUGGUGUGCACGCCCUUGCACAGGUGCUGGGGGGCAGGGGGAUCAGCGGUGCUCACGCUGCACGGGGUGGGUGCAGGACCCCUCGUGCACACGUGGGUGUGCAAGACCCCUCUGUGCACACGUGGGUGCAAGCAGGACCCCUCCUUGUGCACACCCAGGAGCAUGCACGACCUUUCCUUGUGCACACACAGCAGUGUGCAUCACCCCUCCCUCCUUGUGCACACUUGGGUGCAUGAAGGACCCCUCCUUGUGCACACCCAGGUGCAUGCAGGACCCCUCUUUUUGCACACACAGGUGCAUGCAGGGUCUCUGUGCACACCCAGGAGCGUGCAGGACCCUUCUGUGUGCACACGUGGGUGCAUGCACAAUCCCUCUUAGUGCACACGUGAGUGUGUGCAUCCCCCCUCCCUCCUUGUGCACACGUGUGUGCAAGCAGGACCCCUCUUUGCACACGCACAUGUCCAUGCAGGACCCCUCCUCGUGCAAAUGCAGCUGCAAGCAGGACCCCUCCUUGUGCACGUGUGUGCAAGCAGAACCCUUCCCCGUGCACACCCAGGGGCGUGCAGGACCCCUCUUUUUGCACACCCAGGGGCGUGUGAGCCCCCCCCCCGGGCUCACCUGCACGCGGGACUCGGGGAGGUUGAUCUUGAGGGCCACCUCCUCGCGCAUGAAGAUGUCGGGGUAGCGCGUCUUGGCGAAGAGCGCCUCCAGGAUGUCCAGCUGCGCCCGCGUGAAGGUCGUGCGCUCCCGGCGCUGCUUCCGCGGCGUGGCUGCAAAUGGGGGGGGGGGGUCAGGGACACGCUGGGGAGCCCCCCCACAUCACCCCCAAGCUGCUGCACACCCCCAGACCCUUCCCACCCAAGGGGAACCACAGGGCAAGGGAGGGGACCCCUCCGUGCAAGCCCCUCUGUGCAUGCACCCCAUGC